rnacentral:rRNA from 1 species
UGGGGAAUAUUGCACAAUGGGCGCAAGCCUGAUGCAGCGACGCCGCGUGAGGGAUGGAGGCCUUCGGGUUGUAAACCUCUUUUAUCGGGGAGCAAGCGAGAGUGAGUUUACCCGUUGAAUAAGCACCGGCUAACUACGUG